rnacentral:lncRNA from 1 species
CCCCCUCAGCCCUGACUGGGAAAAUGAGGCCCCUCGGGAAGCGGUGGAGAGCCAGUGCGGUCUGUCGGGAGGGUGGUGCGGCACGCCAGCGCUCCUGCUCUUUCGUCUAGGGACCUGUUGCUCACUGCUCACAGCCGCAGGAUGAAGUUACCCACACACACUGCAAGGUGGUUUCUCAGACUCCUUCUGGGCUUCAAGCUCGCUCUUACUGUCGACACUUGGAAACCCAGUCCGUCCACUCUGUGGAGGACCUGCUUCUUAGCAAUGUGGCACCCAUACUCUUGCACUGGCAAAUUUCAAACCAUAGUAACGAGUAUAAAGUGGCCGGUCAGUGGAAGUGAAGAGGAGAAGGAGAGACUUGAGGAGGAAUGUCUUCCUUGUGACCCCGGAGGAGGCGGAAAGGAAACUAAAGAAACCGCCCUUUCAAGUCUUCAUAUUCAGAAAUCCCACUUCCGGGGCUUGCGCGCAAUGAAGCGGAAUUUCAAGAAACAGGGAGACAAAGAUUUGUCAAAGAGAUUCAGACAACUGUUGCGAUCGAAUGCGCUGCCUGCUGUCCUUUUCCCUAGAGAGAUCACCCACAUGGCCAUAGUGGGUGAUGGGGGAGGGGCGUCCUCCAGGACCCCAGAGCUUCCCUGGUGA